CUUUAUUGGAGAGUUUGAUCCUGGCUCAGGACGAACGCUGGCGGCGUGCCUAAUACAUGCAAGUCGAGCGGACUGAUGGGAGCUUGCUCCCUGAUGUUAGCGGCGGACGGGUGAGUAACACGUGGGCAACCUGCCUGU
rnacentral:rRNA from 1 species